AUGCUUCCAGCUGCACAUUGUGUUCCACCGCCCCGCCCCCUUCCUUCCCCAUGCCCGCGGGCGCGCUUCUUCUGUCUGCCCGGACAGGGAAGGGCAGGGCUGGCUUAGAAGCGCCGCUCCAGACCAAACUCCGCCUUCCCACGCUUAGUACAUGCUACAUAACGUAGCCCUGGCCAGCGUGGGGCCCGGCUCAAGGCAGCAGCGACCGGGGCUGCCAUUUCCUCCUGCUGGCAUCGUGCCUGCAAUAAAACAGGACAAAGCAGCUUGACAGUCUCCAUCCUCGCUGCUAACACGGAGCUCACCGCGCGUACUGAAACCGGCUCCCUAGGACUAUUAAAACAGGUGGAAAGAAGCUCCCUUACAUGCGAGUUAAAAACCACAGAAACGAAGUUGGCCGCGCACCGCUUUCCCCUUGAGUCCAGGACAACUUGUUUCUCCUCCCCACCUUUUUUCUUUGCUCUCCCACACUGGAUUUUACAAAGAGCUUCAUGUUUUUAGGCAAGCAAAGAAAGAGUUUCUGGCCAUCCUGCUGUGGAGAAAAGCCUUCUAAUAAAUAAAUUAAUUAAUUCCAUGGCAGGAUGCCCUGGAGCUCUGCACUAGAGGAAAUGACAGAAAGGAACAGAGGGACAAUGGCUAUUGGAACUGGAACCAUUUGAGCUUUAAUAGUUUGAAGAAAGAGCUUCUGUGUGUCAAAAUCUUGCCCCCAACUCCUGUCUGAAUCUUAGCGGUUUGGAGGAAGUCCUUGUGGAACACAUCGUGGCCACUGGAUCCAAGGAGCAAACCCCCUGAAACUUGUCUAUUUAGACCCAGAUGAUCUUCUCUAAUCUACCAGGUGAAGCUGCUCCGAUGAAUCGGUCAGGAAAAGGAGUGAGUCAUGGCUCUGAAAUGCCUUUUACUAUUCCAGGGGCACCUAGAGAGCUCCACAGAGGUAGGUGCUGUAUGUGCAGCGUGAGGAAAACACACUGCUCCAAAUUGCUCACAGACUCAGAUCGGACAAAGGAUUGAGGGGAGGGGAAAGAGAGGCAAAGAGAAGUUGAAGUGACUUGCCCAAGGUCACAGAGCAGGUCAGUGGCAGAUCCAAGGAUCAUUUCCUGUUCUACUGACACUUAGGAUAGGGUCCUAUCCCCUGGUCCAUGUUUCCCAUAAACUAAUAGCCUCCUUGCUUGAACAAUCCCGCCUCUGACAGGAAAGAGCAGCCCCACACUUUCUAAUUCCCCCCCCCCUUUCUCCCGGCACUUUUGGAACACUGCAUAUCACCUGAUUUGUGCUCCAUCCCCACUCCUCUCCCUCCCUCCCAGAGCUGGAAUGGUGCUCUGAAAGUGCUGGGAGAGAGGAGGAGGAGUUGGAAGUACGCCCGAGUGCAUGAGAGGUGCAUGGGAGAGGGAGCAGGCAGGGGGUCUGCAGGCUGCAGGUGGAACCCCAGUAGGCCGUGGACUGCUGUGGCCCACUGAGAUGGAGGAGGGCCACUCAUGCAGCCCACUCACUAGUCUUCAUUGCCCAUCUCUGCCCUAGACCAAAUACGAUACUUCCUCCUGCAGGUGGAGUUGUGGAACAGCUCUUGAGCUGGCACACACAGGAAUCAGGACUGAGGAGCAGCACCCCCAUUCCGGUUGGCUACAGGGGUCAUCCUGGCCACGAGGCCGUGGCUAUAAAAUGAUCAAGACCCAUUUUUUUUCCCCUUCCCCAAGAGUUUUAAAAUCAUCAAUCCGGCCUCCCUAAAGCAAUGAGAUUAGCUUUAAAAUCCUGAGAUUUACAAAAAACCGGGGGCAAGAAGGUGUCUUUCAUCUGCGUUCUGAGUUUGGACCCUUUGAGGUGCGGCCAGUUCUCACACUCAGGUUCUUUCUUGAUAGCCAUGAGGGCUCGACACAUAUUGCUGUUUUUAAUGGAAGCCCAAUUUCUCACCCACACACAGGCUUCCUGGAGCUGGGGCUGUAAGACCUACAGUAAAUAUCAUGAGAUUCCCAGUAAAAUUGCAAAAGCUGGCAGCACUGGCGCUGAGCCCAAUAAACACAGAGUUAUCGUUGCAAGAGGCAGGUCACAGCAGUGCAAAUCCAGAGUCUGAAAUAGACACAGAUGUAAAAAGUCAUUAGAACCACUAGUAUAGCAGUGAUCAAUAACCAGCC